rnacentral:rRNA from 1 species
AUUGAACGCUGGCGGCAUGCUUUACACAUGCAAGUCUAACGGCAGCGCGGGCUUCGGCCUGGCGGCGAGUGGCGAACGGGUGAGUAAUGCAUCGGAACGUGCCCAGUAGUGGGGGAUAGCCCGGCGAAAGCCGGAUUAAUACCGCAUACGACCUGAGGGUGAAAGCGGGGGACCGAAAGGCCUCGCGCUAUUGGAGCGGCCGAUGUCGGAUUAGCUAGUUGGUGGGGUAAAGGCUUACCAAGGCGACGAUCCGUAGCUGGUCUGAGAGGACGACCAGCCACACUGGGACUGAGACACGGCCCAGACUCCUACGGGAGGCAGCAGUGGGGAAUUUUGGACAAUGGGGGCAACCCUGAUCCAGCCAUGCCGCGUGCGGGAAGAAGGCCUUCGGGUUGUAAACCGCUUUUGUUCGGGAAGAAAUCCUCUGGGCUAAUACCCCGGGGGGAUGACGGUACCGGAAGAAUAAGCACCGGCUAACUACGUG